rnacentral:rRNA from 1 species
UACGUAGGGGGCAAGCGUUGUCCGGAAUCAUUGGGCGUAAAGAGCGCGUAGGCGGCCCAGUAAGUCCGCUCUGAAAGCCCGAGGCUCAACCUCGGAACUGCCUUCGAUACUGCGGGUCUCGAGUCCGGGAGAGGUGAGUGGAAUUCCUAGUGUAGAGGUGAAAUUCGUAGAUAUUAGGAAGAACACCAGUGGCGAAGGCGGCUCACUGGCCCGGUACUGACGCUGAGGCGCGAAAGCGUGGGGAGCAAACAGG